GGCCACGUAUUUUCAAUCGGAUUAGAUGGGCGCACUGUCUAUGCGUCGGUUGCGGGUUCGAGUCCCGUCGUGGCCG
rnacentral:tRNA from 1 species